GGGGGGGAGAGAUGAUUUGCAGUUGUUGUGCGCAGACUGACCUCCCUGGCAAGGAAAGAAGCAGAAAUUCGUGAUAGAGAGCAAGAAAUGAAGAAAGUGACUGCUAUGCUAGCGUUUUGUUUUCUGUUUUUGUCUUAGAGGGAUGCCGUUGUCAGACGUUCCUGGUCUGUGCCUUCAUUUCGUUCUAAUUUGCUGAAAUGAAAAGAAGAGAAAGCUGCUUAGAGGGUGAACAUUCCUGUUCCAACUGUCUGGACUCUGAAUAGGGCUUGGGGGAAAUUUCAUUGGUUAUGGAUAAGUUGGGGGUUAUCCUUGGUCUUGUCUGGAUGGCUUCCUACUUGGGUUGUCAACUAAGGGUUGUAGACCCAAAGAAAUCAAUGGACUGAAGUUAGUUAUGACUUAGUCCAGCUUUAUUGAUUUCCUGUGUCAUUGCAUCUGCUGUUUCUUUCUCUUCCAUUCCCUUUCCUUGCUAUCCCUAUAGCCUUUGCCCUCUCUGGAUUGUAUCCCAUGUUGUGGGAGAAAAGUUGGCCAAAAUGAUUUGGGGAACCUUCCUUUACCCAGGGGUUAAGUUAAACGCAUCCAUACAAUUGUAAACAUAGUAGAUUUUUCCAAAUGGGAGGUUGUGGGUUGAGAGAGAUCAACCUCUCUGAUGCAAAACAUGAAGGAAAUGGGGAAGGAGGACUACACUUGUCAUGCAAAAUGGUAGAAAAAAGGGCAGAGACAGGGUUUGUAAGCCUGCCAGUUCUAGUAACACCCAGCAGUUACAAAGUGUGUGUGUGUGUGUGUGUGUGUGUGUUCAAGAGACUUUGGACCAAGGUAGGUCAGGAUUAUUAUUUUCUCAGAAAUUGCAGGUGUUUGAUAAUAUCUGUAGAGAACCCACAACGAAGUGCUGCUUAAAAUGAGAUAAAUGUUAAUGGGGGCUGAGAUUGGGAGACUUCCGAGCUCUCAGUCCUUUACAUUAUGCUUCCUAAAGCAGGGGCAUAGUGUGGGUUGCCGGAGCCUGGGAUGGUAGACUGGGCAGCAGUCAGUCCCUUUGCUAAGCGACAUCUAAUCAAGGGAGUCUCUCCUUGCAAACUAGCCCCGACUGGUAGCAGAGAUAAGGCAGAGAAACGCAAAGCCAGGACUGCCGCUGUGUCGCCUCACUCUCCUGUCUUUGCAGCGAGGCACAACACACAUGACUCUGGCAGUGCUUUCCCGCCAUCCUCCUCCUCCCUUCCUUACGCCUGGCCCAGGGGCAAGGCACACACACAAGGCAUCCCUUCGCCUGCCACAAGAAGGAGGCACUGCCACUGGAUUAGCCUCAAAGGCCUCAAUGAGGGAGCCUGACGUGGGGGCAGCUGGUUGCGCCCCCUUAGAAAUUUGUGCUCAGGGCCCCACCGUCACUGUCCAUAAGCAAUGCACAAGUGCUUCACCUUAAACUUGGCUAGGGCAGCACUUUUUUUAAAAAAGCCAGAUGUAUUACCAAAUGUAUGGCAUAGCCCCCAUUCCCCGGGAACAGCUAUAGGAUAAGCUCAUGAUAUCUAUUAGGUUUUUUUGGUUUUUUUAAUGAAAACAAAUAAAACCUGUCGCUUACCUCCUCAGCCUCGGCCCCAGCGGCGGCCCCAGCGCCAACCUCGGCGAAAGCCUCGUCGAAAGCCACCUCGGCGGCCUCGUCCACCUCCCC
rnacentral:lncRNA from 1 species